rnacentral:rRNA from 1 species
GAUACCCCUGUAGUCCUGGCCGUAAACGAUGAACACUAGGUGUCGGGGGAAUCGACCCCCUCGGUGUCGUAGCCAACGCGUUAAGUGUUCCGCCUGGGGAGUACGCACGCAAGUGUGAAACUCAAAGGAAUUGACGGGGGCCCGCACAAGCGGUGGAGUAUGUGGUUUAAUUCGAUGCAACGCGAAGAACCUUACCAGGGUUUGACAUCCUGCGAAUCCCUUGGAAACUUGGGAGUGCCUUCGGGAGCGCAGUGACAGGUGGUGCAUGGCUGUCGUCAGCUCGUGUCGUGAGAUGUUGGGUUAAGUCCCGCAACGAGCGCAACCCACGUCUUUAGUUGCCAGCAUUUAGUUGGGCACUCUAGAGAGACUGCCGGUGAUAAACCGGAGGAAGGUGUGGAUGACGUCAAGUCAUCAUGCCCCUUACAUCCUGGGCUACAAACGUACUACAAUGCUACGGACAAAGGGCAGCAAACUCGCGAGAGCUAGCAAAUCCCAUAAACCGUGGCUCAGUUCAGAUCGUAGGCUGCAACUCGCCUACGUGAAGGAGGAAUCGCUAGUAAUCGCAGGUCAGCAUACUGCGGUGAAUACGUUCCCGGGCCUUGUACACACCGCCCGUCACACCAUGGAAGUUGGCCACGCCCGAAGUCGUUACUCCAACCCUUGUGGAGGAGGAUGCCGAAGGUGGGGCUGAUGACUGGGGUGAAGUCGUAACAAGGUAGCCGUACCGGAAGGUGC